AGUGCGAUCGGUGGAUGCCUUGGCACCAAGAGCCGAUGAAGGACGUUGUAACCUGCGAUAAGCCCUGGGGAGUUGGUAAACGAGCUGUGAUCCGGGGGUGUCCGAAUGGGGAAACCUGGAAUGUCCGGAGUAGUGUCCGGUGACCCUGCCCUGAAUGUAUAGGGGUGUGGGAGGUAACGCGGGGAAGUGAAACAUCUUAGUACCCGUAGGAAGAGAAAACAACCGUGAUUCCGUGAGUAGUGGCGAGCGAAAGUGGAUGAGGCUAAACCGUGUGUGUGUGUUCAAGCCGGCAGGUGUUGCAUGUGCGGGGUUGUGGGGGCCUUUUGGUUCUGCUGCCGCAGGAUUGGCCAGUGAUAAAUGUUGCGUGAAGGUGAAGCGUCUGGGAAGGCGUACCGGAGUGGGUGAGAGUCCCGUAACUGUAAGCGUGGCACUGGUGAGGGUUGCCCCAAGUAGCGUGGAACUCGUGGAAUUUCGCGUGAAUCUGGCGGGACCACCCGUCAAGCCUAAAUACUCCUUGGUGACCGAUAGUGUAUUAGUACCGUGAGGGAAUGGUGAAAAGUACCCCGGGAGGGGAGUGAAAUAGUACCUGAAACCGGUCGCAUACAAGCCGUCAGAGCCUUGUGGGGUGAUGGCGUGCCUUUUGAAGAAUGAGCCUGCGAGUUAGUGAUGCGUGGCGAGGUUAACCUGUGUGGGGGAGUCGUAGCGAAAGCGAGUCUGAUAAGGGCGUGAGUCGCGUGUUCUAGACCCGAAGCGGUGUGAUCUAUCCAUGGCCAGGAUGAAGCGUCGGUAAGACGUCGUGGAGGUCCGAACCCACUUCAGUUGAAAAUGGAGGGGAUGAGCUGUGGAUAGGGGUGAAAGGCCAAUCAAACACCGUGAUAGCUGGUUCUCCCCGAAAUGCAUUUAGGUGCAGCGUUGCGUGGUUCUUGUCGGAGGUAGAGCACUGGAUGGUCUAGGGGGCCUAUCAGCUUACCGAAAUCAGCCAAACUCCGAAUGCCGGCAAGUGGAGCGUGGCAGUGAGACGGCGGGGGAUAAGCUUCGUCGUCGAGAGGGAAACAGCCCAGAUCAUCAGCUAAGGCCCCUAAGUGGUAGCUCAGUGGAAAAGGAUGUGGAGUUGCGCAGACAGCCAGGAGGUUGGCUUGGAAGCAGCCAUCCUUGAAAGAGUGCGUAAUAGCUCACUGGUCAAGUGAUUCCGCGCCGACAAUGUAGCGGGGCUUAAGUUAUCCGCCGAAGCUGUGGCAAACCCGUUUUGCGGGUUUGGGUAGGGGAGCGUCCUGUACGAGGUGAAGCUGCCGGGUGACCGUGUGGUGGAUUGUGCGGGAGUGAGAAUGCAGGCAUGAGUAGCGAAUGACGGGUGAAAAACCCGUCCGCCGAUUAUCCAAGGGUUCCAGGGUCAAGUUAAUCUGCCCUGGGUGAGUCGGGACCUAAGGCGAGGCCGACAGGCGUAGUCGAUGGAUAACCAGUUGAUAUUCUGGUACCGGCUUGUCACCGUCCGUGUCGAGGUGUGUGAUGCUAAGCGUGCGAGCCUGCCAUUGUGAUGUCUUUGAUGUUGUGGUGGUGUGGUGAGUGUGUGAACCGAUCAUGUAGUAGGCAAGCUGCGGAGGGACGCAGGGAGGUAGCUCAUCCCCGGCGAUGGUUGUCCGGGGCUAAAUGUGUGGACCGUCUGGUAGGUAAAUCCGCUGGGCAUAUGGUUGAGGCAUGAUGGCGAGCCCACGUGUGUGGGUGAGUGAGUGAUCCUGUACUGUCGAGAAAAGCUUCGUGAGCGAGGUGGCUGGUCCGCCCGUACCCUAAACCGACACUGGUGGAUAGGUAGAGUAUACCGAGGCGAUCGAGAUCAUCAUGGUGAAGGAACUCGGCAAAAUGCCCCCGUAACUUCGGGAUAAGGGGGACCUGAACUGUUAAGGCCUGUACGGCUGGUAGCAGUGAGGGGCGCAGAGACCAGGGGGAAACGACUGUUUACCAAAAACACAGGUCCGUGCGAAGUCGUAAGACGAUGUAUACGGACUGACUCCUGCCCGGUGCUGGAAGGUUAAGGGGAACUGUUAGCGUUGGCGAAGCGGUGAACUUAAGCCCCAGUAAACGGCGGUGGUAACUAUAACCAUCCUAAGGUAGCGAAAUUCCUUGUCGGGUAAGUUCCGACCUGCACGAAUGGAGUAACGAUUUCCCUACUGUCUCCACCAUGAACUCGGUGAAAUUGCAGUACGAGUAAAGAUGCUCGUUACGCGCAGCAGGACGGAAAGACCCCGGGACCUUUACUAUAGUUUGGUAUUGGUGAUUGGGACGACUUGUGUAGGAUAGGUGGGAGACUGUGAAGUGGCCACGCUAGUGGUUGUGGAGUCAUUGUUGAAAUACCACUCUGGUCGUUCUGGUUAUCUAACUUUGGGCCGUGAUCCGGUUCAGGGACAGUGCCUGAUGGGUAGUUUGACUGGGGCGGUCGCCUCCUAAAAGGUAACGGAGGCGCCCAAAGGUUCCC
rnacentral:rRNA from 1 species